rnacentral:rRNA from 1 species
AAUACGGAGGGUGCAAGCGUUAUCCGGAUUCACUGGGUUUAAAGGGUGCGUAGGUGGGUUUGUAAGUCAGUGGUGAAAUCUCCGGGCUUAACCUGGAAACUGCCAUUGAUACUAUAGAUCUUGAAUUAUCUGGAGGUCAGCGGAAUAUGUCAUGUAGCGGUGAAAUGCUUAGAUAUGACAUAGAACACCGAUUGCGAAGGCAGCUGGCUACAGGUAUAUUGACACUGAGGCACGAAAGCGUGGGGAUCAAACAGG